GGCUACAUCAUCUUGUUGUUGACGGGUUCCGUGUGUUCAAUCGCCGAGCAGAAAGCCAGGAACAGAACUUAGGCGUUGGCGAUUGGCAUCUCCCUCCCCUAAGCCAUGGCCACCGGGCGGCCCGUACGACUCGUGCUGGAUGCCUCCCUCCUCCUCGACCCCUCCUCCACCAGGGAGGCGGCGGCGGUGGCUCUGCGGCCCGGGGUAGAGGAGCUGUUGCGGCGGUUGCGCUACUCCAACCUGAAUGUGGCAAUCUGCUAUGCAGAGGGCAUGCCAACUAAUGAGAUGCUCUACUUAUCUACAUUAUUAUUACAUCCCUCUGAAGUUGUAUCUUCAGAAGUUCACAUUGACAGUAUUUGCUUCCUCUUGCCAUACUUACCCAUCAUGGCCCAUGGGGUGUCUAUCUUAUCAUGCCAUCUUCAAAGAAUGGCAUCAUGUUAACAAAAAUGAAUGAGAAAUCAGUCAUUUCUAAUGGAAAGUCAGGCUUUCUUGAAAAGGUCGCAAGCUCACACUUGUUUGGCUCUAUAGCACUUCUUGCGAAAAGUGGGAAUCUUUCUCUAACUGAAUUAAUGUUAGAAUGGAGCCAAACAAGUUUAUGUUUUUAUGCGACUUCAAGAGUUGACAAAGGUUUAAGUUCUGAGCUCCAGAAUCAGAAUUGGAGAGUUCUUUCUGUAGCUAAUGAAUGUAGCAUAGAGGUUCCUGGUGUUUUAAAUGUUCAAAGGCUUCAGCAGUUGCUUCUCACCUUGGCUACUCUAAUAAAAGGGAACUAUGUGACUCAUCUGUUCUGGUGAUUGGAUAUAUAAUGAAAAUAUUCUGUGAGGAAGACUUCGCAAGGGCAAGUUACUUUAGAGUUUACAGUGUAAAUGAAUAUUAACAGCUACUUAUGUAUUGUUUAACAACAUGAACAUCACGCUUUUUCAUCU